CGUUUGUAAAUAACGAACAGUCCCUAAGUGAAAUUAAAUUGAAAAUAAUCCGCUGGAUAGGUAGGCCUGGUUUAGCCUACUUAUUGCAGGAUCGAAUCCAGUUUAAUGCUAUAAAGUUUGUAAAAAUAUAGCCUAUACAUGCAGUGUAGUGUACCCACACAGCAAAGGAGUCUGUGGCGGACCCGCCCUCAAGCCGCCAGAUCCGCCGGACAGUCAACCUCCGAUUUGGCUAUGGGCACAGAACACAAUCCGACUCCGCCAGCGCGCCCUCAAACCGCGGCGGACCCCGUGCGAAUGCGCAUAUCGAACGCGCCCUCUCAAGUUAACGGCUCUUUCCUCAGUUUUCUCGUUGAUGGAGUGGAAGACGGCGGCGUCUGAAGGCUCACUGUCAUUCACCAGUGGCUCCAGUCUGGUUUGGGGGUCUACCCUUUCUCAUCCUGGCCUGCCAGCCAAGUAAAAAGAGAAAUAACUACAGACCUCUGCUGCUGAUACCGGUUCAGGAUGAAUUGCAGAUGCUGCGAGUCAGUGGUUCAACCAGCCAACAAACAGGAAAAGCUCAAGGCGGAGUCUUAACUGUCAACAACUCUACCCAAAAAAAUCAGGCUACUUAUUUCCCACUAAGAAAAACAGUGGUCUGGUAUGAAGGUUAUCUGUGUUUU